UCUAGCCUGCUGUGUCCGUCAGGCGCCAAUAAGUUUAAACCCCUUGCGACCAAACUGGGAUUUGUCACUGAGCUGUGGCGAGCAAACCCGCAAGACGGGGCCUUCAAAGCUUUUCACUUACGAGUCCCACCUGCAAUUGCAGGGUUUGACGUGGGUGUACAGCGGCACAGCGGGGACCUU
rfam:Deltaproteobacteria bacterium CG2_30_63_29 cg2_3.0_scaffold_9583_c, whole genome shotgun sequence.